AGACUCUCCUGUGCAGCCUCGGGAUUCACCAUCAGCAACUACUACAUGCACUGGGUCCGCCAGGCCCCAGGGAAGGGGCUACAGUGGGUUGCCGGAAUUGAUGCUGAAGAUGGUAGCACAAACUACGCAGACUCUGUGAAAGGCCGAUUCACAAUCUCCAGCGACAACGCCAAGAACACAGUUUAUCUGCAGAUGAACAGCCUGAAGCCCGAGGACACGGCUGUGUAUUACUGUGUGAGAGACACAGUGAGGGGAGCAGGUGUCCAGUGUGAGGAGCAGAUGGUGGAGUCUGGGGGAGACUUGGUGCAGCCUGGGUGGACUCUCAGACAAUCUUGUGCAGCCUCGGGGUUCACCUACAGCAACUACAACAGGAGCUGGGUCCUCAAGGCCUAG